UACGGGGGGGGCAAGCGUUGUUCGGAAUUACUGGGCGGAAAGGGCUCGUAGGCGGCCAACUAAGUCGGAUGUGAAAUCCCCAGGCUCAACUUGGGAACUGCAUCCGAUACUGGAUGGCUUGAAUUCGGGAGAGGGAUGCAGAAUUCCAGGUGUAGCGGUGAAAUGCGUAGAUAUCUGGAGGAAUACCGGUGGCGAAGGCGGCAUCCUGGACCGACAUUGACGCUGAGGAGCGAAAGCUAGGGGAGCAAACGGG
rnacentral:rRNA from 1 species